GAAAUAAUCAUUUUUUGAUAUUUUAUUUAAUUCUAGAGAAUUGAAAAAUAUAUUGAAACAAUUCAACUUCUAUUUGAAACAUUUUUUUGGAAAAAAAAUGAUAUAAAUCAAAGUGAUACUAUCAUAUGAGACAAUCUGUAUUUUAUUCAGCAGAUAUGAAAAAUUCGGAUUAAGUUUAAGAAAAAUUAAUAAUUAUAUUAUUAAAGGUCUCUAUGCAAGUGACUCGAAAUCUAAAUGGUUAAAAGAAAAAAUUGCUCAAAAUGAUGCAAGACAAGUUUAAUUAAAUUUAUAAGUUUCUAUAUUAAUAAUUUCCAGCCAUUUCUAAAACUCAACAGUCACUUUGUUGAAAUAAGAACAGAGAGAAAUACAGUGAGGAUUUGCCUCUGUCUAAGUGCGUUACGAAUUUUAAUGACGAUGAAGCCUCUACCCUCUUGGCUACUGCGUCGCUUUACAAACGCGUGGGUUUCCUAUUGAAAGCUGUUUGAACAUUUAUCGUGGCAAUUAUUAGUUAUCCCAACACUACUUUCUAUUCAUUAAAAUACUCACAGCAUCAACAAGAGAAGCGAGAAAACAUACAAUUUAACACCGGGCACAGCUUCUAACAGGAUCUUUGCGCAACGAACAGAGCAAAUAUAAUUGGAUCUAAACGUGUUCGGAAUUCAUGAACCCUGCUAAUUAUGUUUGACUUACGAAUUUGAAAUAAAUUCAUGAAAUGGUACAGAGAAAGAAGAUUGUAUGAGAAAUUAUAAUGCGUAUUUCUUCGUGACAUCUUUUGUGUCACCUUAAAGAGUUUCAAAAUAAAUAGUAAAAAAAA
rnacentral:lncRNA from 1 species